rnacentral:rRNA from 1 species
CCUACGGGUGGCAGCAGUGGGGGAUAUUGCACAAUGGGGGGAACCCUGAUGCAGCGACGCCGCGUGGGUGAAGGAGUGCUUCGGCAUGUAAAGCCCUAUCGGCAGGGAAGAAGCAAGACGGUACCUGACUAAGAAGCCCCGGCGAACUACGUGCCAGCAGCCGCGGUAAUACGUAGGGGGCGAGCGUUAUCCGGAUUCACUGGGGGUAAAGGGAGCGUAGACGGCAAUGCAAGCCAGGGGUGAAAGCCCGGGGCUCAACCCAGGGACUGCCCUUGGAACUGUGCGGCUAGAGUGCGGGAGGGGCAGGCGGAAUUCCUGGUGUAGCGGGGAAAGGCGUAGAUAUCAGGAGGAA